CUACGGUGCUGAAGCAACAAAUGCCCUGCUUCCAGGAAAAGCCUCUAAGCCUCAGGUAACAUCAGAUCGUACCCGAAACCGACACAGGUGGUCAGGUAGAGAAUACCAAGGCGCUUGAGAGAACCCGGGUGAAGGAACUAGGCAAAAUGGUGCCGUAACUUCGGGAGAAGGCACGCUGACACGUAGGUGAAGCGGUUUACCCGUGGAGCUGAAGUCAGUCGAAGAUACCAGCUGGCUGCAACUGUUUAUUAAAAACACAGCACUGUGCAAACACGAAAGUGGACGUAUACGGUGUGACGCCUGCCCGGUGCCGGAAGGUUAAUUGAUGGGGUCAGCGCAAGCGAAGCUCCUGAUCGAAGCCCCGGUAAACGGCGGCCGUAACUAUAACGGUCCUAAGGUAGCGAAAUUCCUUGUCGGGUAAGUUCCGACCUGCACGAAUGGCGUAAUGAUGGCCAGGCUGUCUCCACCCGGGACUCAGUGAAAUUGAACUCGCUGUGAAGAUGCAGUGUACCCGCGGCAAGACGGAAAGACCCCGUGAACCUUUACUAUAGCUUGACACUGAACACUGGUCCUUGAUGUGCAGGAUAGGUGGGAGGCUUUGAAGUGUGGACGCCAGUCUGCAUGGAGCCGUCCUUGAAAUACCACCCUUUAAUGGCUGGUGUUCUAACGUAGACCCGUGAACCGGGUUGCGGACAGUGUCUGGUGGGUAGUUUGACUGGGGCGGUCUCCUCCUAAAGCGUAACGGAGGAGCACGAAGGUUGGCUAAUCCUGGUCGGACAUCAGGAGGUUAGUGCAAUGGCAUAAGCCAGCUUGACUGCGAGCGUGACGGCGCGAGCAGGUGCGAAAGCAGGUCAUAGUGAUCCGGUGGUUCUGAAUGGAAGGGCCAUCGCUCAACGGAUAAAAGGUACUCCGGGGAUAACAGGCUGAUACCGCCCAAGAGUUCAUAUCGACGGCGGUGUUUGGCACCUCGAUGUCGGCUCAUCACAUCCUGGGGCUGAAGUAGGUCCCAAGGGUAUGGCUGUUCGCCAUUUAAAGUGGUACGCGAGCUGGGUUUAGAACGUCGUGAGACAGUUCGGUCCCUAUCUGCCGUGGGCGCUGGAGAACUGAGGGGGGCUGCUCCUAGUACGAGAGGACCGGAGUGGACGCAUCACUGGUGUUCGGGUUGUCAUGCCAAUGGCACUGCCCGGUAGCUAAAUGCGGAAGAGAUAAGUGCUGAAAGC
rnacentral:rRNA from 1 species